GACGAACGCUGGCGGCGUGCUUAACACAUGCAAGUCGAACGGAAAGGCCCUGCUUUUGUGGGGUGCUCGAGUGGCGAACGGGUGAGUAACACGUGAGUAACCUGCCCUUGACUUUGGGAUAACUUCAGGAAACUGGGGCUAAUACCGGAUAGGAGCUCCUGCUGCAUGGUGGGGGUUGGAAAGUUUCGGCGGUUGGGGAUGGACUCGCGGCUUAUCAGCUUGUUGGUGGGGUAGUGGCUUACCAAGGCUUUGACGGGUAGCCGGCCUGAGAGGGUGACCGGCCACAUGGGGACUGAGAUACGGCCCAGACUCCUACGGGAGGCAGCAGUGGGGAAUAUUGCACAAUGGGCGGAAGCCUGAUGCAGCAACGCCGCGUGCGGGAUGACGGGCUUCGGGUUGUAAACCGCUUUCGCCUGUGACGAAGCGUGAGUGACGGUAAUGGGUAAAGAAGCACCGGCUAACUACGUG
rnacentral:rRNA from 1 species